GUUUUGUCUCCAAGCUGAGUUACAAGCCUCAGGAACUGAAGUGAGGGGACUGCUCAUGCUACCUCCUCUCAGCAGUGUGUCUGUGGGGUGAUGGCCCACUGCGCUUGGGGAACAGUAGCAUGGCUGCAUUGGAGGAAAGCUCUGCCUCUGUUGGUGUGCGAUAGCAAAGUGUUGCUUUCCUGGUAGCUACACCUCCAAUAGCAUCAUUUGGGUGUGCAGCUGAUAUGGAGAAUAUGACAAUUCAACUGGAUGAGUCAGCACAGGCAACACAAAGGACUGCAGUUAAAAGCUAGGGCUAGGACUUGGAGGAUGUGUAGGCAAACGGAAGGAGAGCCGGGGGAAGAAAAACCGAAAUGGAUUCAUUCUCUGUCCUGGAUGGAGGAGGAGAGGAGAAGAGAAGGGGACGUGCGAGCUUCCUUCAACUGCCUCUGUCCGGUGAAAAGUGCUCAGACCCCCGGGGCUGAGCCGAGCUCAGGAGUCCGCGCGGACUUUCGCUUUAAGCUGCCAAUCAAACCGCUAACUAGCCACCACCCUGCUCUGGCACCGACAUGUAAGUAGCUGCAGCACAACUUUGACAUUCACAGUUUUUCCCCCCUCCUCCCCCGUGACCUUUAAAAUGAUCUGGAAAUGUAGCUCCCACCUACGACCCGCCGCUCUGAGCUCCACAGCGUUAACCUCGGGGACUCGUGUGCGGGUUUGGGCUCGGCUGAAAUUGCGCGGUAGCUGAUCGCGACCGUACCGCUGGGCAGAAGCGCUCCCCGUCCACAGGCUGCCUCUGCCCUGCCUG